rnacentral:rRNA from 1 species
CUACGGGGUGCACCAGUGGGGAAUAUUGCACAAUGGGGGGAACCCUGAUGCAGCAACGCCGCGUGGAGGAUGACGCAUUUCGGUGUGUAAACUCCUUUUAUAUGUCAAGAAAAUGACGGUAGCAUAUGAAUAAGCACCGGCUAACUCCGUGCCAGCAGCCGCGGUAAUACGGAGGGUGCAAGCGUUACUCGGAAUCACUGGGCGUAAAGGACGCGUAGGCGGGCUUGUAAGUCAGGUGUGAAAUCCUACAGCUUAACUGUAGAACUGCACUUGAAACUACGAGCCUAGAGUAUGGGAGGGGCAGAUGGAAUUAGUGGUGUAGGGGUAAAAUCCGUAGAUAUCACUAGGAAUACCGAAAGCGAAGGCGAUCUGCUGGAACAUAACUGACGCUAAGGCGUGAAAGCGUGGGGAGCAAACAGGAUUAGAUACCCCGGUAGUC